rnacentral:rRNA from 1 species
GAUGAACGCUAGCGGCAGGCUUAAUACAUGCAAGUCGAGGGGUAGCAAGAUUGUAGCAAUACAAUUGUUGACGACCGGCAAACGGGUGCGGAACACGUACACAACCUUCCUACAAGUGGGGAAUAGCCCAGAGAAAUUUGGAUUAAUACCCCGUAACAUAGCGAUGUGGCAUCACAUUGCUCUUAUAGCUUCGGCGCUUGUUGUUGGGUGUGCGGCUGAUUAGAUAGUUGGCGGGGUAACGGCCCACCAAGUCUACGAUCAGUAGCUGAUGUGAGCACAAGGUCAGCGAAGAGGGAAAUAUGACACGGGAGCUGCUCGUAUGGGGGGGUGCAGAAAGGAGUAUAGGAGAAUCGACGCAAGUCUGAUCCAGACAUGUCGAGUGAAGGAGUAAUGUCCUCUGGAUUGUCUACUUUUUUUAUAAGAGACGAAAAAAGGUAUUUCUGGAUCGUCUGACGGUACCUUAUGAAUAAGCACCGGCGAACUACGUGCCAGCCGCCGCAGUAAUAC